AUUGAACGCUGGCGGCAUGCCUUACACAUGCAAGUCGAACGGCAGCAUAGGAGCUUGCUCCUGAUGGCGAGUGGCGAACGGGUGAGUAAUAUAUCGGAACGUGCCCUAGAGUGGGGGAUAACUAGUCGAAAGACUAGCUAAUACCGCAUACGAUCUACGGAUGAAAGUGGGGGAUCGCAAGACCUCAUGCUCCUGGAGCGGCCGAUAUCUGAUUAGCUAGCUGGCGGGGUAAAAGCCUACCAAGGCAACGAGAAGUAGCUGGUCUGAGAGGACGACCAGCCACACGGGGACGGGGACAGCGCCCAGACUCCUCCGGGAGACAGCAGGGGGUAAUUUUGGACAAUGGGGGCAACCCUAAUCCGGCAAUGCCGCGUGAGUGAAGAAGGCCUUGGGGUUGUAAAGCUUUUUUGGCAGGGAAGAAACGGUAGUAGCUAAUAUCUAUUACUAAUGACGGUACCUGAAGAAUAAGCACGGGCUAACUACGUGCCAGCAGCCGCCGCCGUAA
rnacentral:rRNA from 1 species